ensembl:snRNA U6 U6 spliceosomal RNA
GUGCUUUCUUGCUACGGCUGCACAUAUACUAAAAUUGAAUCGAUACAGAGAAGAUUAGCAUGGCCCUUGCAAAAGGAUGACAGGCAAAUCCAUGAAGAGCUCCAUAUUUUU